UACGGAGGGUGCAAGCGUUAUCCGGAAUCACUGGGUUUAAAGGGUGCGUAGGCGGCUUCAUAAGUCAGUCGUGAAAUCGUGUGGCUUAACCAUGCAACUGCGAUUGAUACUGCGAGGCUUGAAUAAGGUUGAGGUAGGCGGAAUGUGACAUGUAGCGGUGAAAUGCUUAGAUAUGUCAUAGAACACCGAUUGCGAAGGCAGCUUACGGGGCCUGAAUUGACGCUGAGGCACGAAAGCGUGGGGAUAAAACAGG
rnacentral:rRNA from 1 species